rnacentral:rRNA from 1 species
UGGGGAAUCUUGCGCAAUGGGCGAAAGCCUGACGCAGCAACGCCGCGUGAGCGAAGAAGGCCUUCGGGUUGUAAAGCUCUGUCAGGAGGGACGAAGCCACUCAGGUUAAUAGCCGAGAGGGUGACGGUACCUCCAGAGGAAGCCCCGGCUAACUACGUGCCAGCAGCCGCGGUAAUACGUAGGGGGCGAGCGUUGUCCGGAAUCAUUGGGCGUAAAGCGCGUGUAGGCGGCCAUCCAAGUCCGAGGUGAAA